ACAACUGAUAGCUGGGCCCCACGCAACGGAAGGUUACGAACUCCGUCAGGUCCGGAAGGAAGCAGCGGCAGUAACUCACACCGUGUGCCGCGGGAUCGCCCAGCUAUCAGUUGUGUCCGCAAUU
rnacentral:misc_RNA from 1 species